GAUGAACGCUAGCUACAGGCUUAACACAUGCAAGUCGAGGGGAAACGGCAUUGAGUGCUUGCACUCUUUGGACGUCGACCGGCGCACGGGUGAGUAACGCGUAUCCAACCUUCCCAUUACUGUGGGAUAACCUGCCGAAAGGCAUAUAAUACCGCUAGUCUUCGAGGCGGCAUCAGAUUUGAAGUAAAAUUUAUCGGUAAUGGUUGGGGAUGCGUCUGAUUAGCUUGUUGGCGGGGUAACGGCCCACCAAGGCGACGAUCAGUGGGGGUCGAGAGGAAGGUCCCCCAUUGGAAUUGAGACACGGUCCAAACCCUACGGGGGGCGGCAGUGAGGAUUUUGGCAAUGGACGGAAGUUUGACCAGCCGAGUAGCGUGCAGGAUGACGGCCCUUUGGUUGUAAACUGCUUUUGUAUGGGGAUAAAGUUAGGGCCGUGCCUUUUUUCGGGUACCAUACGUUUAAGGACCGGCUAAUUCCGUGCAGCAGCCGGUGUUUAAGGGGGUUCCGGCGUUUCGGGAUUUUUUGGGUUUAAAGGAGCGGAGGCUGGAGAUAUGUGUUGGUGAAUGUAAACACUCAACGUCUGUAUUGAGGGGUUACUGGUUUCCUGGGUACAAAGCGUUGGUUAUUGGUGGUGAGAGGUCAAAGGCUUUGUUAUUACUAGAACUCUUUUGCAAGGCGGUGGAGGGGA
rnacentral:rRNA from 1 species